rnacentral:tRNA from 1 species
GCCGAGGUAGCUCAGCUGGUAGAGCGUCGCAGUCGCCACGGUGAUUUGCGGAGGUGGUGGGUUCGAAUCCCGCACUCGGCU